GACGGGGGGUCCUGAGCGUUGUUCGGAAUCAUUGGGCGUAAAGGCGGGCGUAGGUGGCUAUGUAAGUUCAGGAGUGAAAGGCCCUGGGACUCAACCCAGGAAGUGCUUUUGAAACUGCGUAGCUUGAGUGUGGAAGAGGAUAGUGGAAGUUCCAGGUGUAGUGGUGAAAUACGUAGAUAUCUGGAGGAACACCGGUGGCGAAGGCGGCUAUCUGGUCCAACACUGACAACUGAGGCCCGAAAGCGUGGGGAUCAAACAGGAUUAGGAAACCC
rnacentral:rRNA from 1 species